CCUACGGGUGGCAGCAGUGGGGAAUAUUGGGCAAUGGGCGCAAGCCUGACCCAGCAACGCCGCGUGAAGGAAGAAGGCUUUCGGGUUGUAAACUUCUUUUCUCAGGGACGAAGCAAGUGACGGUACCUGAGGAAUAAGCCACGGCUAACUACGUGCCAGCAGCCGCGGUAAUACGUAGGUGGCAAGCGUUAUCCGGAUUUACUGGGUGUAAAGGGCGUGUAGGCGGGGACGCAAGUCAGAUGUGAAAACCACGGGCUCAACCUGUGGCCUGCAUUUGAAACUGUGUUUCUUGAGUGCUGGAGAGGCAAUCGGAAUUCCGGGUGUAGCGGUGAAAUGCGUAGAUAUACGGAGGAACACCAGUGGCGAAGGCGGAUUGCUGGACAGUAACUGACGCUGAGGCGCGAAAGCGUGGGGAGCAAACAGGAUUAGAUACCCGGGUAGUC
rnacentral:rRNA from 1 species